rnacentral:rRNA from 1 species
GUGCCCAGCCGCCGCGGUAAAACGUCGGGGGCGCGCGUUGUCCGGAAUUACUGGGCGUAAAGGGCACGCAGGCGGUACGCCAAGUCGGGGGUGUAAAGUUACGGCUCAACCGUGACCUUGCACUCGAUACUGGCGUACUGGAGUGCGGGAGAGGGAAGUGGAAUUCCCGGUGUAGCGGUGAAAUGCGUAGAUAUCGGGAGGAACGCCAGUGGCGAAGGCGGCUUCCUGGCCCGCGACUGACGCUCAUGUGCGAAAGCCAGGGGAGCGAACCGGAUUAGAUACCCGGGUAGUCCUGGCCGUAAACGAUGGGUGCUAGGUGUAGGCGCGUCAAGCGUCUGUGCCGCAGUUAACGCGAUAAGCACCUCGCCUGGGGAGUACGGUCGCAAGGCUGAAACUUAAAGGAAUUGACGG